rnacentral:rRNA from 1 species
AGCAGCCGCGGUAAUUCCAGCUCCAAUAGCGUAUAUUAAAGUUGUUGCAGUUAAAAAGCUCGUAGUUGAAUUUCGAGAUCAAAUUGUUGGUCGUGCCUCGGUACGUACUGGCAUUAUUGAUUUCUCCCUUCUGAAGAACCACGAUGUCAUUAAUUUGGUGUCGUGGGGAAUCAGGACUGUUACUUUGAAAAAUUAGAGUGUUUAAAGCAGGCUCACGCUUGAAUACAUUAGCAUGGAAUAAUGAAAUAGGACGUUUGAUUCUAUUUUGUUGGUUUCUAGGAUCGACGUAAUGAUUAAUAGGGAUAGUUGGGGGCAUUAGUAUUCAAUUGUCAGGGGUGAAAUUCUUGGAUUUAUUGAAGACUAACUACUGCGAAAGCAUUUGCCAAGGAUGUUUUCAUUAAUCAAGAACGAAAGUUAGGGGAUCGAAGACGAUCAGAUACCGUCGUAGUCUUAACCAUAAACUAUGCCGACUAGGGAUCGGAUGAUGUUAAUUUUUUAAUGACUCAUUCGGCGCCUUACG